rnacentral:snRNA from 1 species
GGAUGUGAGGGUGAUUUGGCUGCAACAUGUUACCCCAUUGAUCACCAGGGUUAAUUAUUUGGCUGAUCUGGAUGGCUAGGCGGGUGUCCCCUCCCUCCCUCACCACUCUAUGUGUGUCCCUCCCGAUGCUGUGCACUUGGUGGAAGAGGACGGCCUUCCCCGAAUAGAGACGGACCGGUCUUCGGUGGAGGGUAUAUGAGUCGGUGCACUACCCUGCUAGAACCUCCAAACAAGCUCUCCAAACAAGGUCCAAUAUUUUGGAUAGGACAGGAAGAAAUUGAGAGAGGUGAAGACAGAGAGGGGGAGAGAAAGACAGACACUUGCAGAUCUGCUUCAGCACUUGCAAAGCGACUCUUCCCCCCUUC